rnacentral:misc_RNA from 1 species
AACUUUUGACAAUGGAUCUCUUGGCUCUUGCAUCGAUGAAGAACGCAGCGAAAUGCGAUAAGUAGUGUGAAUUGCAGAAUUCCGUGAAUCAUCGAAUCUUUGAACGCAUAUUGCACUCUUUGGUAUUCCGAAGAGUAUGCCUGUUUGAGGGUCAUUUGAAAAAUCAAUCUUGACUUAGGUCUUGGAAUAAUGAGAUUUCCGUCAUUGAUAUUAUUUUUGUGAUGGUUACUUGAAAUUGAUGCUGGUCUUGGCUUGUGACAGCAGCGUUUAUGUUAAAAUGUUCGCAACUUAAUCAAGCUUUCAUGUUCUAGCUAGUUCAAUUUUCAUCUUAUUAUAAUAGGUGGAAAUUUAACAGGGAAAGUUUUUCCUUAUUUUAUAAUCGUGACCUCAAAUCAGGUAAGAGUACCCGCUGAACUUAAGCAUAUCAAUAAGCGGAGGCU